rnacentral:rRNA from 1 species
GUUACUCGGAAAUCACUGGGGCGUAAAAGCGCGCGCAGGCGGGCUUGAUAAGUUGGAAUGUGAAAAGCCUACGGGCUCAACCGUAGAACUGGCAUCCAAAACUGUCAAGCUAGGAGUGUGGGAGAGGAAGAUGGGAAUUAGUUGUGUAGGGGUAAAAUCCGUAGAGAUAACUAGGAAUACCAAAAGCGAAGGCAAUCUUCUGGAACACUACUGACGCUGAGGCGCGAAAGCGUGGGGAGCAAACAGGGAUUAGAUACCCUGGUAGUCCACGCAGUAAACGAUGAAUGUUAGUCGUCGGGGGCCUAGUGUCUUCGGUGAUGCAGUUAACACAUUAAACAUUCCGCCUGGGGAGUACGGUCGCAAGAUUAAAACUCAAAGGAAUAGACGGGGACCCGCACAAGUGGUGGAGCAUGUGGUUUAAUUCGAAGAUACGCGAAGAACCUUACCUAGCCUUGACAUAUAUUAGAACUCCGCAGAGAUGCAGAGGUGCCUUCGGGAGCUUUUAUACAGGUGCUGCACGGCUGUCGUCAGCUCGUGUCGUGAGAUGUCGGGUUAAGUCCCGCAACGAGCGCAACCCUCGUCACUAGUUACUAACGGUUCGGCCGAGGACUCUAGUGAGACUGCCUUCGUAAGGAGGAGGAAGGUGAGGACGACGUCAAGUCAUCAUGGCCCUUACGGCUAGGGCAACACACGUGCUACAAUGGCCAGGACAGUGAGAAGCGAUACCGCGAGGUGGAGCAAAUCUAUAAACCUGGUCUCAGUUCGCAUUGUAGCCUGCAACUCGACUACACGAAGCUGGAAUCACUAGUAAUCGUAGAUCAGCUACCCUACGGUGAAUACGUUCCCGGGUCUUGUACACACCGCCCGUC